GACGAACGCUGGCGGCGUGCCUAAUACAUGCAAGUCGAACGCAGUGGGGACGGGUGAGUAACACGUGGGUAACCUCCCAUCAGAGGGGAUAACACUUGGAAACAGGUGCUAAACCGAUACUGAUGGAUGGACUCGCGGUGCAUUAGCUAGUUGGGGAGGUAACGGCUCACCAAGGCCACGAUGCAUAGCCGAGCUGAGAGGGUGAGCAGCCACACUGGGACUGAGACACGGCCCAGACUCCUACGGGAGGCAGCAGUGGGGAAUCUUCGACAAUGGACGAAAGUCUGACCGAGCAACGCCGCGUGUGUGAAGAAGGUUUUCGGAUCGUAAAGCUCUGUUGUUGGGGAAGCGGUAUCUGACCAGAAAGCCACGGCUAACUACGUGCCAGCCGCCGCGGUAAUAC
rnacentral:rRNA from 1 species